AGUGAACGCUGGCGGCGUGCUUAACACAUGCAAGUCGAACGAGAACGGGAUAUAGCUUGCUAUAUUUGUCAGCUAAGUGGCGCACGGGUGAGUAAUGUAUAGAUAACCUGCCCCUCUAGAACGGAAUAACAGUUGGAAACGACUGCUAAUGCCCUAUAUGCCUUUAAUACAUAAGUAUGCAAGGGAAACGCUUUAGUGCUAGAGGAUGGGUCUGUAUGGUAUCAGCUUGUUGGUGAGGUAAUGGCUCACCAAGGCUAUGACGCCUAACUGGUUAGAGAGCAUGGUCAGUCACACUGGAACUGAGACGCAGUCCAGACUCCUACGGGAGGCAGCAGAGGGGGAUAUUGCACAAUGGACGAAAGUCUGAUGCAGCAACGCCGCGUAGAGAAUUACACAUUUCGGUGCGUAAACUACUUUUAUAUAGGAAGAUAAUGACGGUACUAUAUGAAUAAGCACCGGCUAACUCCGUGCCAGCAGCCGCUGUAA
rnacentral:rRNA from 1 species